GCAAACUUGGUCAUUUAGAGGAAGUAAAAGUCGUAACAAGGUUUCCGUAGGUGAACCUGCGGAAGGAUCAUUAGCGAAUAAACUUGUGUGAGUUGUUGCUGGCCUUCUCGGAGGUAUGUGCACGCUUGCCAUUGUUUCAUUCCCCUUCCACCUGUGCACUUUCUGUAGAUCACGCUGUUGCUUUUCAGGUUGCUUGCAGCCCGGUUGUGAGGACUUGCUCUGGCUGUCCUUGGAUGGUGUGGUCUAUGUCUUUAUCAACUCUGUAUGUUACUGAGUGUUUGUUCUGGGUUUUGACACCCAUAAAAUCUAUACAACUUUCAACAACGGAUCUCUUGGCUCUCGCAUCGAUGAAGAACGCAGC
rnacentral:misc_RNA from 1 species